CGUGAUGGUGUCAUCGCUCACAUGUUGACUUCUUAUCCAGCUCACUGGCUGUUGCUCACUCUUCUAUAUUUAGAGCUUGUUAUCUGACGCUGCAUCCCUCGCUCUCCCUCACUCUCCUCCUCUCCUGAUCAUCGUUUUCACAGUCUUUCAGAAAGUGUUGAUGUAAAACUGUGGCACAUUACAAAAAAAAAAGCUUUAUUGACAGCAUCAUGUGGCGACGGAGCUACCUGCAGACCCAGAGGCCGAUUAUCAUGAUGUCGGAGAAUUUGGAGCCGAGUGAUGAUGUCAGCCUCCUGCACCCCCACGAGUUGGAGUCCCCGAGGGAGGAGGACGGACACUGCCCCCUGCCCUUCAGGCUGCAGCUGAUUGACGACCUGUCCUACGAAGACGUGAAGAAGUGCUACAGAGGAUCGGUGAGAAACUCAAUG